GACGUAGGUGGCGAACGUUAUCCGGAAUUAUUGGGCGUAAAGGGCGCGUAGGCGGUGGUGCAAGUGGAAGGUGAAAUCCCUCGGCUCAACCGAGGAACUGCCUUUCAAAACUGCACGACUUGAGUCCGGGAGAGGUGAGUGGAAAUUUCCCAGUGUAGCGGUGAAAAUGCGUAGAUAUUGGGAGGAACACCAGUGGCGAAGGCGGCUCACUGGACCGGAACUGACGCUGAGGCGCGAAAAGCGUGGGGAGCAAACGGGG
rnacentral:rRNA from 1 species